GUUACGGCCGGACCUGUUGCACAUGUGAACUGAUGGCAAGUCUCGCGAUGUGUGCUGAAUGAGACUUCUUGAACGUGAUUUCAUAGUGAUAAACCAUAGACAGUAAGUGAUAAACUAUGAAUAAGCGAUAAGCGAGAAUGGGUUGUAAGAAAACGGUUAAACUGCUUGCACGCGCCUUGGAGCGUUGUUAAACUCACCUUUUAAUGCCGUUUUUCCUGCAUUUGAGCGUUGCUUUGGUCAAACUCACCGCUGAAUGCUGUUUUACAUCCAGUUGAGUGUUGUUAAACUCACCACUGAUGAACGCGCUAAGCCUUUGCACAGAGAGCACUGUGAUGUCAGAUUGCGAGGAUUUUUAAACCUCAAAAACAAGUUGGAGGGACAGAUAAAAAUGAUCUGGCGGCCGCCAUUUGACUCGCCGUCAUAUAUCAUUUUUGUAGCCUAUUCUUUUUUUUUAUUUUUAUUAAAAAACGACCCAAGACGUCAAAUUUAAACGCUGUUGAAUCAACAUGGACACGAAUAAAUAUAUUCAUUUUGAGUAGCCUAUCGAAUAUAAAGCAAUACAAAAAGGCUUAAUUUCCUGAUUAAAUGUUGGGUAGUGUAGCCCUUAAAGUUUGCAAAAUGAAUAACAAUGAGAAAAAACAAUACUGUGUUUUCGAAAGAAAAACGAGGUGCAUCCGCGGAAAAAAAAAAAAACGGUCACAUUGAAAUACAUUAGAUUGAAGGUCGUUCUGUAUGACACGAAAAAAAGGGAAAUUCGUGUCCAUAAAGACGAUUCAAUAGAUUAAAUUUCGUGUCCUCAAUGACGAACUGCCGUGAGACUGGGUUGGUCUGUCUCUGUAUGUCUGUUCUCAGGUGAAAGUAUUAGAGAAAUACUCAGCCAGUGAGGAGAGUAUGCUGGCUUCUGUCCUCACCAGAGGGGAUUGUUUUGGAGAGAGAGGAGAUGACGAGAUGUCGAUGAGCGCUCUUGCCACAGGCGAUGUGACAUGUUUGGUCAUAGACAAAGAGGUUUUCAAAAAAGUAACUGAAGGUUUGGACGAUGCAUUGAAAAUCUUUCCAA